AAACCAGCACCUCAAGUGGUCAGGAUGAUUAUUGGGCCUAAAGCAUCCGUAGCCUGGUGCAUAAGUUUUCGGUUAAAUCCAUAUGCUCAACAUAUGGGCUGCCGGGAAUACUGUGCACCUAGGGAGUGGGAGAGGUAGACGGUACUCGGUAGGAAGGGGUAAAAUCCUUUGAUCUAUUGAUGACCACCUGUGGCGAAGGCGGUCUACCAGAACACGUUCGACGGUGAGGGAUGAAAGCUGGGGGAGCAAACCGGAUUAGAAACCCGAGUAGUCC
rnacentral:rRNA from 1 species